GACAACGAUCAAACGCAUUUUAAACUUUCUUGAUGCUAAGAUAUUAGCAGGUUUUCGAACUUUUAGCGGAAUGGCUAUGGUUAACUGUGAAGUAAAAAUAAUUGAGGGGGCGGCUCUUUCAUUGCUCUUUCCUCGCUAAAAAUUUUGUAUGCACUAUCGUUUAACAUUUCUGUUUAGUGACGCCUCUCAUAAAGGGAAGAUUUUUAAAAAAAAAUUGGAGCGGACAACUCUACCACUUUAGAUGAAAAAACUUUUAAGGGACUUGACAACUUAUAUAGUUUUGAUCUCGUUACGGGUGUUCGGGCGUGGAGGCCAAAUUUUUAUUGAGAUUUGGAUAAUAAUUCCAUAAGUCGAAUUGUUCCUAAUGUAUUCAGCAUAAUGACGAUCUUGUCUGGUUGUAAGUGUAACCUUACAAAGCAGAUGACCUUCUUGGUCGUAUAUAUAUUUUAAUAUUUACUUCAAGUCUUUUAUUUCUGUUAACAAACUGAGUUCAAUCCGCCCUAAACUUUUCAGCAAACUUACUAAAUUGGAGGUUUUGCAAGUUUAACAAUAUUAACAGUUUUAGUUCCCUUCGUAUCUGAAUUUAUAAAAAAGGUUUCACUAUUAUCAGAUGAUAAAAGUUUUCACAAUGUAUGAAAGAUCGAUGGCUGACUUAACUUUUAUAUUUGGUGGUAUAACUUUAUAAUACACUUGCGACGCCGUGAAAAAGUUAGUAAUACUAGUGCAACACUAACUUAGCCCGGUCGUUUCUAUAGUUAAGACCGAGAAUAAUUAGACUUAAGCUUUAAUAGCGAGGGGUUAUAACGAUAGCGACCAUGGUGAGGUGUAUCAGUAAGUCCACACUACUGUGUACUGAACUUAUUCGAAUGUUCUUGUACAUUUUUUACUAUUAAAGUUUUUCCAUUUAUAUUAUAAUUAUGUGCGCAACGUCUCUAAAGAAAGCUUUCUGGAGAUGAAUUAAGCUUCAUUAUCCCCGGAAGCUUCCGUUGUAUACCCCUUUUGGCAUUGUAAGUUUUCUUACUAGAUGCUCAAUGUAUGGCUUCGUAGGCAAAUAUGCCUCCUUAGACUGGUGAAGUAUAGUAGAACCUUAUCAAAAGAAAGUAAUCAAAUUUUUGGUGUUAAGAGUAUUUUCAAAUAUGCAAGGAAUAGAGCAUACCUCUCCCGUCACACUUUCUUUUUGUCGUAGAGUCACCUUAUUGCUUAUUGCUUGGGUUGUUCAAGCGUGAUUACUCCAGAAACGUUUUCUCAGACGACCGCAGCUAUGUAAUACGUGUUCAGGAUUUUAAAUUUCUUUGUUAAAGUCUUUGAGUUCUAUCUGAAACGGGUUAAGUUACCUAGUCCCUGGAGUUUUUAACAACUUAGCUCAACUGAAUUUGUUGUAAAUUUUAUAAUGGUCUUGAGGGGGUGCUUAUAUUAUUAUUGCCGAUAAAAAUAUUAAUAAGUGUAAUAGUAUAUGAAUCUGCUAUUUAAAGCGACCUUUUGUUUAAUAACAAUAAGGAAUUUAUCUAUGAAUUUGUUGAGUCCAGUUGCUUUUCAAGCCUUUGAUGGUUUAGAGUCACACUUUUGAACUUGUCUAGAUGUUCCAUUAGCUUUUUACCUCCAGGAAUUCAGCAAUAUAUUUUGUGAGAUGGAGCUCUAAAUGGGAAUAAUAUAAUCUCUAUUGCUCCCAGCACAUUCGCAAGGAAGAGUAAUCUACGUUUUUAACGGUUAAGAGGUAAUCGUAUUACUUGCUUAAUCCAGGAGACGUUUGCUCCAAAACUUUUGGGCUUGUAAAUGCGAAAUAUUCUAAAUGUGGAUCCGCAUUUCCAAUGCUGCUGUUUUUUAAAUCUUCGUAAUAAAUGAAACAUCCGAUCUGGAAUGCCGUUCGAGUGCAAGCAUCGAGGACGUGAUAUGUCUAACUCGAACUUUGACUGGAAUGACUGCCGUCAGCAAACAGAAGACGCACAUAUAUUGAAGAGAUUUCGGGUAAAGGCGAACAUUACCACUAAAAAUAGUAUGCUUUAAUUUUGGCCCUACGUGCUCCAAGCAGAAAGAUUCAAAGCUGUUCGAGAGCGGCCUAUUUCUAGUGCCGAAGCAGAAGAAGAAGUAAAGUACGAAAAGCAACCGGAUGUUAAGCGCGAGAAAAGUUUUGUAAUGGAAAGGGCAUUACAGGGAGAGCCGGCGGAUAACAAAGUUGCAGCAGAUAACGAUUCAACGAAUGCUAUGAAAGGGACUGUAAAACACCGUCAGUCAAAGUAAGAACUUAAAUGAAUCGAAAACAACACAUAAACCAAGUAAAGCAAGUAAAAAAAAUAUGACAGAAAAGUCUAAUGCCAAGGUUACCAAGGAGCAACCUGCUGGUAGGGUAAGCGAAGUCUCCCAGUUUUCAUUUUAUGGCCUUCAUUCGUUAUAUUCUACAGUAUACAACCCGGGGGGUAAUGGGAAUAGUAGUCGUCUUUGUUAUUACUGCAUUUUUAUGGUGCCUCAUAGCGGUGGCGUUACCACCAAAUUUAGCAGGCGCGAGGAAUUGCGUGAACUGGAAACUGCAUUUGACUUAAACUUUGACCUUUGGGCUUAGUUAUAUAAAAUUCCUUUGCUAAAAGUCAGUGUAACAGGUUAGAUAUGUAGAGCCAUCACACCGGGAUUGGGAGUUCUCGUCUUAGCUCAGCGUAAAAAGAAUUGAGGAAGGGGCAACCCUCUUUUAACGAGCCGUCGGAUCUUUUAUGAUUGGUUCCUUGAGUCGUAAGCUUAACCGCCUGCUGUUAAUACUAAAGUUUUAAACCACUGUUCUAAGUAUAUCAUGUAUAAAAGUAUUUGAAUUUAAAAUAUAUUUCGGCACUACGUUCUUUAAUGCCCUCGCUGGUUAUUAGUUUAACCGUUUAGUAGAAGGGGGAGGGUAUAUUACUAACAUCUUUUUUUAGACACAGAGCUGCCUUUCUAUCUAAUCUCAACUUCUUGGCUAGAAAAACUUUCUGUUGCUCAUUUUUUUCCUCUCCUACAUUUGACUCCAUGGCGACUAAGCUGAAAACGCCAAGGAUAAUCUACAGCUUCGAGAACUGGAUAUUUAUAUACCGACAUAACAAGGGAUAAUUUCACAUUUGUUGUAACAUUCAAAAGACAAGAAAUAAAAAAUUACAAACUUUA